GCCUGGGUGGCUCAGUCGGUUAAGCGUCCGACUUCAGCUCGGGUCAUGAUCUCACGGUCUGUGAGUUUGAGCCCCGCAUCAGGCU
rnacentral:tRNA from 1 species